rnacentral:rRNA from 1 species
CCUCAAAUCAGGUAGGACUACCCGCUGAACUUAAGCAUAUCAAUAAGCGGAGGAAAAGAAACUAACAAGGAUUCCCCUAGUAACUGCGAGUGAAGCGGGAAAAGCUCAAAUUUAAAAUCUGGCGGCUUCGCCGUCCGAGUUGUAAUCUGGAGAAGCGCUUUCCGUGUUGGACCGUGUACAAGUCUCUUGGAACAGAGCGUCAUAGAGGGUGAGAAUCCCGUCUUUGACACGGACUACCAAUGCUUUGUGAUACGCUCUCGAAGAGUCGAGUUGUUUGGGAAUGCAGCUCAAAAUGGGUGGUAAAUUCCAUCUAAAGCUAAAUAUUGGCGAGAGACCGAUAGCGAACAAGUACCGUGAGGGAAAGAUGAAAAGCACUUUGGAAAGAGAGUUAAACAGUACGUGAAAUUGUUGAAAGGGAAACGCUUGAAGUCAGUCGCGUUGUCCGGGACUCAGCCUUGCUUCUGCUUGGUGUAUUUCCUGGUUGACGGGACAACAUCGAUUUUGGACGGCGGAUAAAGGUGAGGGGAAUGUGGCAUCCUCGGAUGUGUUAUAGCCUCUCGUCGGAUGCGUCGUCUGGGAUCGAGGACCGCAGCACGCCUUUUUGGCCGGGGUUCGCCCACGUAACGUGCUUAGGAUGUUGGCAUAAU